GCUUGUCUCAAAGAUUAAGCCAUGCAUGUCUAAGUGUAAAUACGUCUACACUGUGAAACUGCGAAUGGCUCAUUAAAUCAGUUAUCGUUUAUUUGAUGAUCUCUUGUUACAUGGAUAACCGUAGUAAUUCUAGAGCUAAUACAUGCACAAAAUCCCGACUUACGAAGGGAUGUAUUUAUUAGAUACAAACCAACAUCGUGGUGAUUCAUAAUAACUUUCGGAUCGAUUUAUCGAUGCAUCAUUCAAGUUUCUGCCCUAUCAGCUUUGGAUGGUAGGGUAUUGGCCUACCAUGGCUUUAACGGGUAACGGAGAAUUAGGGUUCGAUUCCGGAGAGGGAGCCUGAGAAACGGCUACCACAUCCAAGGAAGGCAGCAGG
rnacentral:rRNA from 1 species